CACGUAGUUAGCCGUGGCUUCCUCCUCAGGUACCGUCAUUAUCGUCCCUGAAGACAGAGCUUUACAACCCGAAGGCCGUCAUCACUCACGCGGCGUUGCUGCAUCAGGGUUUCCCCCAUUGUGCAAUAUUCCCCACUGCUGCCUCCCGUAGGAGUCUGGGCCGUGUCUCAGUCCCAGUGUGGCCGUUCACCCUCUCAGGUCGGCUACGCAUCGUCGCCUUGGUAGGCCUUUACCCCACCAACUAGCUAAUGCGCCGCAGGCUCAUCCAUCAGUGAUGCCAGAAGCAUCUUUAAACUUUCGUCCUAUCCGGUAUUAGCGAUCGUUUCCAAUCGUUGUCCCCGUCUGAUGGGCAGAUCACCUACGUGUUACUCACCCGUUCGCCGCUUCCCACCGAAGUGGUUCGCUCGACUUGCAUGUAUAGGCACGCCGCCAGCGUUCAUCCUGAGCCAGGAUCAAACUCU
rnacentral:rRNA from 1 species